AUUAAUAUUUUAAUGUAUUUCUGUUUCAUUUAUUUUAUAUGCAUAAUUUUUGUCAGUUAUUUAAUGGUCAUACUGCUUACAUACUUUUGAAAACAAUUUUUAAAAUUUAACAUUUCUAUGUAAGCAUUUUCUCAUGUUAUUAUGAAUUCUUAAUAAAUAUCAUUUUAAUGGCUGCUUAAUGUUCCAGCAAGUGGAUAUUCCAGAAUUUACUUAAUGAUCUCUUUAUUACCAGACAUUAACUGGUUUCUAAUUUUUUAGUAUUACAGAUAAUGUCAUGAUCAAUAUUUGGGGGCAUUUUCCACAUUUCAGAUUAUUUCCUUAGGCUAGAUUUACAGAAGUAGAAUUGCAGAGUCAAAAGGUAUGAAAACAUUCAACACUCUCAAGAAAUAUUGUCAUACUGCUUUAUAAAAGGGUUGGUGCAGUUUGCACUGCCGCUAGCAGCUAAUCGAGCAAAACUGCAAUGGGACUAAAAACAGUUUAUGGAGUUAGACCAGGGUUUCUCAACCUCAGCACAAUUGACCUUUUGUGCAGGAUAAUUCUUUGUUAUGGGAGGCUGUCGUACGUAUUGUAGUAAUGUUUAGCAGUAUCCCCGCUAUCUGUCCACUAGAAUUCAGUAGCAACCCUCAGUUAUGACAACAAAAAAUGUCUCCAGACAUUGCCACAUGCAUCCUUGGGGGCAAAAUCAUCCCUGGUUAAGACCUCAUGUGUUAGACAAACUUUAACUUUGACUUUCAUUUGAGCUCUACCACAUACUAGCAAGCCAAUGUGGGCAGGUUACUUGAUCUCUCUGGCUCAUCAUUUAUUCAUCGUAAACUGGGGAUGAUUACACUCAGCUCAGGAGUUGCUUGUGAAGAUAAGAUAGUGUAUGUAAGGUGUUUCAUACAAUGCUUGGAGCCUGGUAACAGCUAGUAACUAUUUGCAAUUAAGAUCAUGGUGGCAAUGCUGGAAGUGCCCUGUGAAAGGACCUGGCUUUUGUGUGAAUGAAGGAGAGGUGGGUUUAGUGAAUCACUGAUAUUCAUUCAUUUAUUUAUGCACUCAUUCAGUUAGUAUUUAUUGGGCCAUUACUACAUGCCAGGAAUUGUUCCAGGCACAAAGGAUACAGCAGUGUAUAAAAUACUGUCCUCAUGGAGCUUAUAUUCGAGUGGAGAGACAGGCAAUAAAUGAGAUUGGAAAAGUUAAUUAUAUGAUAUGUUAGGAAAGAGGAUAGAAAUUGUUUGGCAGGUGGGAGAGGUUGAAAUUUUAGAUAGGAUAGAUCUGGAAGUCUCUAUCGAAGAGGGACAAUUAAGACUUGACUUUGCCAUGUAGGCACUGAAGGGCAGUCCAGAUGGAGGGAAGAGCAAGUGCAAAGGCCCUGAAACAGAAAUGUGCCCAGAAUGUUCAAGGACUCACAGAUCUAACUUGGCUGAAGGCAAGGCUUCGGGGUCAAUAAGGAGAGCUGAUUGCAGGACUAUGCAUCACCAUCUGAUUACCUGGGUGUGCUUCAUGCUCUCGUGUGUGUGUGACAUUGUCAUGGAUGCAAUGUUCUCCUCAGAACAUGGAAUUCAACCUGCUGUCCUCUCUCAGUAACAAUAAUGAAGCUUUUAAAGCAUCCCUGAAAGGUAUGUCCAUUUCUUUUUCUCCUUAAAUAUGAUUGGGAAGUGAUUAAUUAGAGUGAGAAACAGACAAUAACUCAAAAGAACAAAGUGGUAUGGGUAGGGACCAUAGUUUGGUCUUAUGGCUAAAGAGUGAUUGGACAAGUUAUUGAAACAAAUUUCUCUAUGUCUUAGGGAAUUUGAAUGUUGACUUUCUUGGUGAGACUAUAUCAGUGGUAUGCAUUUCAUAAUCAUCUUUUAUUCUAGUAUUAUGACUCAGAUUUAAGGUGUAUCUUUUAUUCAUGUCAACAAGUAUAAACACAUGCUUGAAUGUUUUUCUCCUUUAGUCCAAGGUGAUAUUAAUCAGAAUUCAUUUCAGAUAAAAAUCUCAACAUGCACUUGAACUCAAAGGUGAGAGUGCAUUCCAUUCUGUUCUCACUUUAUGGAGCAACUCUUCUGCCAGCUCUGGCUUGGCAACUUGACUCUUUUGCAAAAGUUGGUUCUCAGGAGCUCCUACAGAGUGGAAAAAAAUCCUUGAUCCCAGUCUUAAAGAUAAGAGGGAUUAGCUCCUUGGUGCUUCAUAAGAGUUAUCGUGGAAGGAUUUGCUAAAGGACCAAAGACAACUGCCAACCUCUUCAAAGGCAAUUUUCCUGCAUCAGUGUCACACAGGUAGAUUGCUUGGGACUGCAUUUAUUCAUUUCCCAAUUUUUUUAAAUCGUACUUCACCUUGGAUUAAUUGCUUGACAAUGUCAAUCCAUUUCUUUGUGGGAUCCCCAAAUGGGAAUUCAAUCACUGCCUCUGAUCAAGUGGGGAACCUUCAUCUGCUUGGGAUGACAAAGAUCUGCAGUCUCCUCACCCAGCUACCUGUUCAUCAGUUAGUCCCUUUGGCAGAAUCAUCCAUGCCAUUGGAACACUUGGGGAUAGCCUGCCUGAUUAGUUAAAUUUUUCUUUGUCACCUCGUGAGCCUGCCUUGUCCAACUCUGUAACUUUGAAUGUGAGGAAAAACUGGCUGUUUGUGUAAACAUAAAUGCCUCUUCACAACUGAACACUUUCCACCCUUGUAUUAGGAUGGUGUGCAUUUCCACUGUUUGCCUGUUACUGUCACCCCACAGCUGCUCUGGGAAGCAAUGCAGAAGGUUCCCUCCCUGAGUUCUCCGACCACAGUGGACGACUCCAGUGGCUUCAAGAAACAUCCAUGACAGUACUGGGGAUCAUUCGUUGGUUUCACAGUGUAGGGCCUGGUUUGUGAUUCUCUCUAAUGGCAGACCAGGCCUCUGGACCAGAAAUGGGGCCAUGGAAAGUGGCAUGAAAGGAUCUCAGCAACAGGAAUAAACAGAUUUGGUUCUAGCAGUGCUUGUUUCAUUAGAUAUUUCAACCUGCUUAAGUGGAGAAAUAGUAGACUUGAACCAAUUGAAAAAACCCAGAACGAUACACACCAAUUUGCUGAGUCCUGAAAAGAAUGCAAUUCCAAAUCUAUUCAUCUACCGAAACCAUGACCCAAACCAAUAUCACCACCAAACCUACCCACCCCACCAAACACACACUCUGAGAAGGGAGAGAGGAUGCGGAAUAAGGACCAAAGGAUUAAAGAAGAAUGUCAAAUAAUUCUGCAUAGUAAACCUGAACUAAAGUAAAAUUAUAUCAAUCCUCCUUUUCCCAUCAAAGACUGAGCAUUCUGGUUAAUGAAAUAAUUUAAGGUACAGUAAUUUGCUUUCACGGAAACACAAUUUUCCAACUUAUGAGUAACUUAUAUGUACAGUGGGAAUCAAAGUAUCCUUUUAGUCUUUAAUAAACCAAGCAUUAUAAUGAAGAUAGUGUCUAAACAGCUUUCUCCUUUUAGUGGUCCGCACCAAAGAAGAUAAAUAGAUGGGCUUAGCUACAGAAAGGCAGCCUCCACAGACAGGAGGUGAAUGCAUCCUUCUUCUGCAUGUGGUGCUGAGAAUUGGGAGGGCUUGCAAACUUCACCGGACAGGUGUAUCCUUCUUUUGCUCUUCACAGUUAAGGAUCUGGAACAUUCCAGCUCCUUGGCAGCAAGGAAGGUUACCAGAUGUAAAAGAACGCAAAGGGUAUCUCUGGAGGAGAAAAGUCUUUCAGGCUCUUGGGACUCUUUGGACCCUUGUUAGAAAUUGUGUGUACCCUACUCUCCUGGCCUGAGGAAGAACCGAUGCUUGGCGAAGGCUGAGGUUUAGAUGUAUGGCCACAGUGGCUUUGCAGCUCGUUUUCUGAACCAGUCCAAUUCGGAGGCAGAUCGAGAUUAAGCUCAAAGAGAAGAAUUUUAGGCAUGGGAUAAAACUUAAUUUUCCUGAUGAGAGAAAUGAGAGCUAAAGUGAGAAAGUGCUAAUGAAAGAUUCCAGGCAAAGAAGGCAGGGCCAGCUGCCAGUUUACAAACUGAGCUUGGCAGACAGACAGUGGAGCUCUGACAGGGAGUUUCUCUGUGCAUUUUAGAAGAAGGCAGAAUAGAUCUAAAUGCAGCCAACCUAUUGAUUUAUUCUCUUUGUACUGGACAUGGCUUUUUAUUAAAGAAAGCAGAUAUUCAAUAGUGUUAACUAGUAAUGGGAAUUGACUUUUCACUAAUUGCACAGACCUUGGCAUUAAUACACUUUAAUGGAACCUGGGCUCUGUGUCCCUCAGAUCAAUCCCGAAGUUUUUCUCUAACUCUUUCUGGUCAAAGGAUAUGAAUGGCAUUGUAACCGAGGAGACCUUUUUUAAUCUUUUUUUUUUUUUUAAUUCAUGGAAUGAAUAGGCUGAGGAACUUUCUUUUAUUCCAAGAGACCAGAGAGAGGGGUAGUUCUGUGACUUCUAAAAUACAUAGAAACUUUGUGGGUCUGAACUGACUUUGGAGCUUGGUGUUGGCAAUUUAAAAUUCAGUUGUGAAGGCUGGAAAAGAGUUUAGCUUCCCAUGCACCUGGCUGGGUCCUGCCCUUGCUGGAUUUUCUGAGGCAGACGAAUCACCACUUAUUUAUCAUUCAUUUGUUAGAUUUAUUAAAAGUAAAUAGGAUCCCUGACAGCUGCUGGGCUCAUAUGCAGACCUGGAGCCAAGGAUAUGAGAAUAUGGGUAGCCCUGGCAAACCUCUACAGCAGAAUCUGACCUCACCAAAGGGAAAGUAGCAUGGCAUACCAGAUCCUGCCAUGGACAAGGACAUUCCUGAAGGCCCCAGGAUGGCAAAUGUCCCAACUCCAGUUCUCCAGGAAUUAUUGUCAGAUUCUUUCUCCAGCCACAGAAUAUUAGGAGGAUCCUCUAAGACAAUGAUGCUUCAAAUCCAAAGCAUGAGACUUUGAGGUUCUCAGGGAGGAUGUUUGUCUCUUAUUAAUCUUUGAAUAUGACAAUUCCUGGAGUCAGGGCCAGACAAACCCGGUUUAAUUUAUAGUUUUACCUCUUUCUAGCUUGGUGGUAAUAAGUCAGUCUCUGUGAGCCUCUAUGUCUUCAUUUGCAAAAAAGAAAGAAAGAAAAUAGAAACACAUGAUUCAAAGGGUUGUUGAGGGAUUCAAAUAAAAUACUGUAUGUAAAGCUUUUAGCUCAUUGAGGGCUCCUUCAGUGAAUGGUAGUUAUGAUUAUCAUCAUCUUUGAAUCCUUCGCACUUAGACAUUGGGCAUUUUGUAAAUGUAAGUUCAGUGAAUGGGUUCAUUCUUUGAUUCAACUAAUUUUGUGCCUGUUACAUGCCAAGCACUAUUCUGCAGUGCACAGACACACCUCCUGACCUCAUGGAGUGUACAGUUUGGUGGGAAUACAGGAACAGAGAAGUAAAUGAAUGGAUAAACUGUCUGAAAUUUAAUUUUGGAUAGUAAUAAGUUCCAUGAAAGAUAUUAAGCAAGAUAAGAGGAUCGAAAGUGAUUUUGUAUAUGUUUGUGUGACAGAGAGAGAGAGAAAAAGAAGAAAGAAAGAAAAGAAAGAAAGAGAAAGAAAGAAGAAAGAGUAUAGCAAGUGAAGGUCUAUGGGUGAGACAAAUGAAUAAAUAUAAACAGAGAUUUCUUCAGGUACUUAUAAUGCAUCUGCCCUACUUGUUUUAAUACCUUUGGCCAAGUGUUCACUCAACAACAUAUCUCUGUACUUGAUGAACUCUUGUGCUGUAGUUUCUCUUUACCUAGUGAGGUGAGAUAACUCCCAUUAGGUGAGUGUCUUUAUUUGUUUUCAUCCUUGACCUUGGGUCCUUUUUCCUAAAGUGUCCCCCACCUCCAUCCCAGGACUUCAUCUCAAAAAUAAACAUAAAAGGCAGGAAAAUGCCUCCCUUUUCAUAUCUGACUUCUGUACUUCCAGGCUUGCCUUCCAGAAGUGGACAGCCAUGGAUUCAAGAUGUGUCAAAAUUGGAAGGAGCUUUGUUUCUAUUUGGCCCUGAAAAGUGUUCCACAACUGGACUGCCAUAUUGAAUUAUUUUCAGCAGUAGAAAUUCUUCGAUGGCCCAUUUCAGACCAGCCUCUAAUUUGAAAGUAAUAACAUUUGGGCAAAGCUUAGAUGCACUAAGUUGCUGCCGAGGGCUUGGUGGGCUUUGAGGUAAUUGGUUUUACUCAGUUGCUGAUGCUUCACUUGGACAAAUGAGAAAUCAAACUACAGCUCAGUUUGCAGAAAAGCCCGUGUCAGCAGUUUAGUCUGACUACUAUUUCAGAGCUUGUUAUAUUAUUGGCAAUAAAAUGCAACUAAUAUACUGUUAAUUAAUAUUGCAUCCUACAGCUAAUUUAUCACAUUAUUAAUCAGAGUGAUAAAGCCAAGGAAAAUGCAGCUUACCUUUAGUGUCCUUUCAUCUCUUUUAAACACUUGUAUUUACGCACAAAUAGGUGUUUUGGUCAACAUUGUCAAGUGUUUGGGUGGUCCUGGAUGAGUGUAUUUUAUUUGCAAACAGUAACUUCCCCCUCAGGAAUAUUUUAUUUAGCAAGACAGGACUUAAAGUGAAAGGGUAACCAUUUCUGAUCGUAACCUUGGCUUUGUGCUUCUAGUAAUUAUCCUUUAAUUUCAUUACCCUAUUUGAAAUAGAGUUGUAAUUGGAAAAAAACAAUUUGACAUUCCCUGAUGCUUACUCUGACAUGCACUAUUUGCUUUUUAUUCAAAUGUAAAUUUUCACCAUAAUACUAUCAAAGAAAGAAAAAAAAUUAAGCAAAAUUGAAAUGUCAGUUGCAAUUUCUGACAUGCAGGCAGUGUCAUUCACUGGUUUUGUCUGGAAGGCAAGACUUUCACUUCAGAUGGAAAAAAAAAAUCAAACUGAAAUUAGUAUGCUUUGAGGAGAGGGAGAGAUGGAUGGCAGAAUCACAGAUCUAUUCCUUUGGGAUAUGUGUCCACUUUGCACAGUGGCUUCAAAAUAUCAAACAAGCAUCCAGCUAUGAUUUUUGGAUGAAUAAUCCUUUAUGCUUAAUAUAAAAAACACUUUUCCUUAAAAACUGAAAAAUCAUAAACUUACCUCUAUUUUACCCUAGGCAUCUUGAAGGUGUAAUUUUCAUUUGGAGCAUGUGUUAGGCAGUCUCUAAAAUGGCUACAAUGAUUUCUGUCUCCUGAUAUCACACUCUUAUAAACUCUUCUCUUUUGGUUGUGGGCUAGACAUUUUGACUUGCUUCUAAUAAAUAGAACACAGCAAAAGUAAUGGCAUGUCACUCCCAAGAUUAGAUUAUACAAAGUACUGUGGCUUCUGCUUUGGGCUUCCCUGUUUUGCUUUCUCACAUGUUCACCCUGAGGGAGAUCAGCCUCCAUGUUGUGAGCAGCCCUAUGGAGAGGCCUUGUGGUAACUGAGGGAGGUCUCUGGCCGGUAACCAGUUGAGAAUUGAGGCCUUUGGCCCAUUAACCCAUGAGGAGCUGAAUCUUGCCAACAGUUUGGAAGUGAAUCAUCUUUCAGUUGAACCUUCAGAUGAGCCCACAGCCCCAGCUGACACCUAACUAUUACCUCAUGAGAGAACUUCAGCCAGAGGCACCCAGCUAAGUGGCAGCUGGAUUCCUGACCAAUAGAAAUUGUGAGGUAAUAAGUGCUUGUUCUUUCAAGCUGCUCAGUUUUGGGGUAAUUUAUUAUAUGGCAAUAAAUAAUUAAUAUAGGGUAGGAGAGAACAAAUAUUAAACUAAUAAUUCUAGAUAAGUUUGGCUUGUCACAUAGGCAGGAAAAAAACAUAAACAAUG
rnacentral:lncRNA from 1 species